UACCCGGCUACCGGGGGUAAUAUCCGACUGGCUGGGGGGCGGAGCAGAGGAUGCAACGACACGACGCACCUCCGUACUCCUGAACGGGGAAGGGAAGGGUUGGAUAUAAAAGACUUGACGUCGCCGCCUCUGGCAGUAGUCCCUAGUCAGAGCCCGCCGCACGGCUUGCACCCGGAGGAGCCCGAAGAUGACUCCAUGGCUUGGAGCGCUGCUCCUGGUCGCAGCUGCCGAGGCGACGCCUUGGUACCCUGGCCCGACCACCGCGCUGUCGCCGCCCGCGCCAUCGCCGCCCCCGCCCGCGGCCGCGCAGUCCCCGUACCCCAACUUGUGCGGCUCCACCCUGGACGCGGCCUCCACCUCGUGGGCCCAGGCUGUUCCGAGCUUCCCGCCCACGGCGCCCGCCGAAGCCGAUCUUCACCUCGACCUCAGCGAGCUCGCGCCGGCGGUGGGCAGCGCUCUCGGCACCGCACUGGGGGCCGCCGUGAACCCCGUGCCGCGGCGAGGCACGCGGCCUUCCUCUGACCCGGGCGUGGGGUACAUGGUGGGCAUCUACAUGCAGCCCGUACGGCUGCCCAUCGGGCCGCCCCUCGGGCCGCCCGUCCACAGCGCCAGCCGAGGGGUGCAGGCAGGCGAGAACCUCGGCGAGGAGCAGGGGCUGUCCCUCCUGGACGACACGCUCCUCCAGCAGUUGGGGGACAUACUCACGGAGUACGAGGACGAUGACGAGAAUGAGGCCCCGGGUAGAGCGGGGCCCAGCCGUCUGAUCGUGGAGGACGUGCGGCCCGCUUGGCCCUCUGUGCACCUCGGCGAGGUGGUGCUGGGAGAUGCGCUAGACGCAGCCGGCGCCGGCGCAGCAGCUUCGCCCGCCGAGCCUCGACAGCUCCACCACGCCCUCGGGGCGCCAGGGGAGCGACACCGCCGUCCGGCUGGUCCGGGACCGGCACCCUGGAACCCCUUUCACCUCCCGGCGACGACCGCGGCCGCCGCGGGACAGGACCAGCCGCCCACUCGGGUGCUGCGUACCGCCCUUGUGCCAUCGACACCGUAUUCUCGCCGACGACGUUUCCUCUCUU